GGAUCAAUUUAUUGGUCGUGCUAUUGUACGUACUGGUAUUAUUGAUUCCUACCUUCUGACGAACCAUGAUGUCAUUAAUUUGGUGUCAUGGGGAAUCAGGACUGUUACUUUGAAAAAAUUAGAGUGUUUAAAGCAGGCUCACGCUUGAAUACAUUAGCAUGGAAUAACGAAAUAGGACGUUUGAUUCUAUUUUGUUGGUUUCUAGGAUCGACGUAAUGAUUAAUAGGGAUAGUUGGG
rnacentral:rRNA from 2 species